CCUACGGGUGGCAGCAGUGAGGAAUAUUGGUCACUGGACGAGAGUCUGAACCAGCCAAGUAGCGUGAAGGAUGACUGCCCUAUGGGUUGUAAACUUCUUUUAUAUGGGAAUAAAAUGUUCCACGUGUGGGAUUUUGUCUGUACCAUAUGAAUAAGGAUCGGCUAACUCCGUGCCAGCAGCCGCGGUAAUACGGAGGAUCCGGGCGUUAUCCGGAUUUAUUGGGUUUAAAGUGAGCGUAGGUGGAUUGUUAAGUCAGUUGUGAAAGUUUGCGGCGCAACCGUAAAAUUGCAGUUGAAACUGGCAGUCUUGAGUACAGUAGAGGUGGGCGGAAUUCGUGGUGUAGCGGUGAAAUGCUUAGAUAUCACGAAGAACUCCGAUUGCGAAGGCAGUUCACUGGACUGCAACUGACACUGAGGCUCGAAAGUGUGGGUAUCAAACAGGAUUAGAUACCCCUGUAGUC
rnacentral:rRNA from 1 species